CAGUCGCCACGGGAAUACGUAGGUGGCAAGCGUUGUCCGGAAUUAUUGGGCGUAGAGGGCUCGCAGGCGGUUUCUUAAGUCUGAUGUGAAAGCCCCCGGCUCAACCGGGGAGGGUCAUUGGAAACUGGGAAACUUGAGUGCAGAAGAGGAGAGUGGAAUUCCACGUGUAGCGGUGAAAAGCGUAGAGAUGUGGAGGAACACCAGUGGCGAAGGCGACUCUCUGGUCUGUAACUGACGCUGAGGAGCGAAAGCGUGGGCAGCGAACAGGAUUAGAUACCCGAGUAGUCCCUGUCUCUUAUAC
rnacentral:rRNA from 1 species